CGCAUGCCCUUUAAAAAAAAAAAUACAGUAGUCAAAAAAUGUUCGCAUUUCAUAACCUUAGGAAAUGGAUUAACUCAAUAAUAAAGCUGUAAAGUAGGCUAU